UACGUAGGUCCCGAGCGUUGUCCGGAUUUAUUGGGCGUAAAGCGAGCGCAGGUGGUUUAUUAAGUCUGGUGUAAAAGGCAGUGGCUCAACCAUUGUAUGCAUUGGAAACUGGUAGACUUGAGUGCAGGAGAGGAGAGUGGAAUUCCAUGUGUAGCGGUGAAAUGCGUAGAUAUAUGGAGGAACACCGGUGGCGAAAGCGGCUCUCUGGCCUGUAACUGACACUGAGGCGCGAAAGCGUGGGGAGCAAACAGG
rnacentral:rRNA from 2 species